CAGUAGCCGCGGUAAUACGAAGGGGGCUAGCGUUGCUCGGAAUCACUGGGCGUAAAGGGUGCGUAGGCGGGUCUUUAAGUCAGAGGUGAAAUCCUGGAGCUCAACUCCAGAACUGCCUUUGAUACUGAGGAUCUUGAGUUCGGGAGAGGUGAGUGGAACUGCGAGUGUAGAGGUGAAAUUCGUAGAUAUUCGCAAGAACACCAGUGGCGAAGGCGGCUCACUGGCCCGAUACUGACGCUGAGGCACGAAAGCGUGGGGAGCAAACAGGAUUAGAUACCCGAGUAGUCCCUGUCUCUUAUAC
rnacentral:rRNA from 1 species